rnacentral:tRNA from 1 species
GGGCGUGUGGCGAAAUUGGUAGACGCACUUGACUUAGGAUCAAGCGCCUUCGGCAUGGGAGUUCGAGUCUCUUCACGCCCACCA